rnacentral:rRNA from 1 species
UACAGAGGGUGCAAGCGUUGUUCGGAAUUACUGGGCGUAAAGCGCGUGUAGGCGGUUGUCCAAGUUGGAUGUGAAAGCCUUGAGCUCAACUCAAGAAAUGCAUUCAGGACUGGAUGACUAGAGGACCGGAGAGGAUAGUGGAAUUCCCAGUGUAGUGGUGAAAUACGUAGAGAUUGGGAAGAACACCAGUGGCGAAGGCGGCUAUCUGGACGGUUUCUGACGCUAAGACGCGAAAGCGUGGGGAGCAAACAGGAUAGAAACCCCGGUA